CUUGCUGAGAGCAGAGAGUCGCGCAAGCCGCCGCAAGGAGAAGGGUAGCGAAGCGAAAAAAUGGAGCCGGCGAGAAAUGUGAAGGACGUUUCACCACAUGAGUUCGUCAAGGCGUACGCCGCACAUCUGAAGCGCUCCGGCAAGUUGGAGCUGCCAGAAUGGACAGAUAUCGUUAAAACUGGAAAAUUGAAGGAGCUUGCUCCGUAUGACCCUGAUUGGUACUACAUCAGGGCAGCCUCUAUGGCUAGAAAGAUCUAUUUAAGAGGAGGUAUUGGGGUGGGAGGAUUCCGUCGUAUUUAUGGUGGAAACCAGAGGAAUGGCAGCCGUCCCCGUCAUUUCUGCAAGAGCAGUGGUUCAGUUGCACGCCACAUCCUUCAGCAAUUGCAGACUAUGAACAUCAUUGACUUUGAUCCAAAGGGUGGGAGGAGAAUCACAUCCAAUGGGCAAAGAGAUCUUGAUCAGGUUGCUGGACGAAUUUCGGCUGCAAAUUAAGAUAUGAAAAAGGAGGCGUUUUUACUAGUACAUGAGUUGUUGUCAACUUAUAAUUUCAGCUUGGACCUAUUAGAGGUGUAGGGUAUUGUUGAAUCUUUGUCUGCAUGUUUUGCCCUUUUAUUUUUCAAUCUGGGAUUCUUUUGCAUCAGUAUGCUAAUUUUGUCCUUUAAAAUACUUAAAUUACUUUUGCUUCCUUUAUCUCUGAGUGUUGCUACUUUUCUUUUUCUGUGUUUGCGUUGAGUCUUUUAUUAUAAAGUAU
rnacentral:misc_RNA from 1 species